CGUCUAUAUACGUAUAGCAUAUCAAUAAGCGGAGGAAAAGAAACUAACUAGGAUUCCCUCAGUAACGGCGAGUGAAGCGGGAAGAGCUCAAAUUUGAAAUCUUCAAGGUUCUACCUUGACGAAUUGUAGUUUAAAGAAGUGUUUUCUGUUGGAAUUUUGGUAAAAGUUCUUUGGAAAUAGGACAUCAAUAGAGGGUGAGAAUCCCGUAUCUGACCAUUAUUUCCAGCUUUGUGAUACACUUUCAAAGAGUCGGAUUGUUUGGGAAUGCAGUCCAAAAUGGGUGGUAAAUUUCAUCUAAAGCUAAAUACUGGCGAGAGACCGAUAGCGAACAAGUACCGUGAGGGAAAGAUGAAAAGAACUUUGAAAAGAGAGUUAAACAGUACGUGAAAUUGUCAAAAGGGAAGCGUUUGACACCAGUGUUGUUUUCUCGAAAAUCAAUUAAAAAGAUGUGGAUUUUGUGUUGUAUUGACUUUAUCAGCUUUCUGCACUUUUUCCUGUCUUUUUAAUGCACUUUUCGUUUAACAAGUCAACAUCAAUUUCUUUUGUUGUAAAAGGGUCAUUGGAAGGUGGCUUUCUUUUCGGAGAAAGUGUUUAUAGCCUUUGACUUCUGCAAUCGGAGAGAUUGAGGUCUGCAGCGUAGAUCCUUCGGGGUUAGAUACAUUUGUGCUAAGUUAUAGCCUUUCAUAGACAACUUGUUGACUAUGAUCAGUCAUGUAGCUUACUCGCUUAUGUUAUUUUACCUACGCUUAGGAUGUUGAUCUGUAGUGCGUGCGC
rnacentral:rRNA from 1 species